GACGAACGCUGGCGGCGUGCUUAACACAUGCAAGUCGAGCGGUAAGGCCCUUUCGGGGGUACACGAGCGGCGAACGGGUGAGUAACACGUGGGUGACCUGCCCUCAGCUCUGGGAUAAGCCUGGGAAACCGGGUCUAAUACUGGAUAUGACUCCAUGACGCAUGUUGUGGGGUGGAAAGCCUUGUGCGGCUGAGGAUGGGCCCGCGGCCUAUCAGCUUGUUGGUGGGGUGANGGCCUACCAAGGCGACGACGGGUAGCCGGCCUGAGAGGGCGACCGGCCACACUGGGACUGAGACACGGGCCCAGACCCCUACGGGAGGCAGCAGUGGGGAAUCUUGCGCAAUGGGCGAAAGCCUGACGCAGCGACGCCGCGUGAGGGAUGACGGCCUGG
rnacentral:rRNA from 1 species